rfam:Camelus ferus unplaced genomic scaffold scaffold571, whole genome shotgun sequence.
GAGGGUAUAGCUCAGGGGUAGAGUGCGUACCUAGCACGCACAAGGUCCUGGGUUCAAUCCCUAGUACCUCCU